GACGGUGUAAUUCCAAAUCUUGAUAGCUCCAUGCUGAUCCCAGUCACCUUCAUGAACUUUGACUCCUUGAAUGUUUUUGGAGGUGGCGGUGGGCAAUUUGUGGGUUUCACUCCUCCAAAUCUUGAAGAACUUGUCAGCUGGUGCUUUCAGUUCGACUUCAGUCUCCAGUUUUCCCUUCAAAUUAGCCAUGUUGGCACAAAUAUUGAGACUCCAAAAUUCGCGAAGCUCGUUGGAACAAUGGGUUGUGCUGAGAAAAAAGAGGUGUCGCUUGCUUCUUAAAUUGACUUUGGCGUUUCGUCUCUUCUUCAGGUCCCACACAUCAUGUUUCAUGUGGUCCUUGACAUGUUUACUAAUUAUAUCGACGUGUCAAAUUGCUAUUGGAGUGCUUUAUAAAAUGUAUUUUGGACCAAUAAAAAGAUAUGCCUGAUCAAUUAUGACCGUGGCCUGUUAAUAAUGGAUGCAAUUCAAGCCAUACAUUUUUUUUCGGUCAUUAGCAAUUAAAUGUCUAAUUCAUACAUUUCUAAUAUUCUCAUAAUGAGCUCUAAUACUCUAUGAAAGUUGCCCGUUGAAUUCAUCUUCUAAUCUGAUUGAUCUGCCAAGGUCAACUUAAGAUUAUACCGAAUGCAUAAUAUAAAGAAAGAGGUCAAUUACCUGGCCUAUAGGCGGACUCAAGGUAUAUUCGGUGAGUUAGAAGAUGCCUUCAUCAUUUCUUUAAAAUAUUAUUAUGAUGUGCAUGUGAGGGUGUUAAGCGAAAAACGUUCCAUAUUUGGCAUAUAAUUCAGUAUUUUAUUUUAUUUUAAGUUGAGCUGAGCCUAACUAGAUAAUGUAUAUAUUGGUAGGUGUAGAUUUAAGGUCUCUCUUGAGGAUCUCCAUAGGUGAAGAUAUCGGAGUUAUAUUGUGCAUCUCAACAGGUGUUUUCUCAAAAUGAGAAUUUACAAUGUGACUCAUUGAUCAUGGUGGUAGAUGGUAUCCCUCGCUUCUUCCCAAGUUUAAUUGGGCAAAGGCGAUUGAGGUAGAGUCAGAAGGGCAAACAUUAGUCAUGCAACCAUUAGCCAAAACUAGUGAGGCAAGGUAGAGAUUCAAGUUGAGAAUGUUGGUAUGGAAGGAUAUUUAAAUUAAAGAGGAGCUAGCCUAAUGCAAAAGAGUCACGUGUGGAGAGAGAUUUGUUUAAGUGGAUGUGUGAAGGUUUUAGGUGUAAAAAGUUUCUCUUAUGCUUUCUUCCCUCAAAUACCAAAUCUUUCUUUCUCUCUUUUUUUCCUUCCCCCCCCCCCCCCACAAGGCAUGAUUCAUGUGACACUUGGUAUUCUUUUUCAUGUCUUAGUCAAUCUACUAGCUAAUCGGUUUAUUAAAUGUCCAUGUGCAUUACAAAAAACAAAUCUUAUUUAGUCAAUAGCUCAUAAAUAUUCACAAAUCGUACGACUUUAAUCAUAUAAUAUUUAGCUAAUUGUAUAGAUUAGCAAAUUUUAUUGAUCUAGCACAUUGUCCAAAUCUUUCACCAAGAAAAAACAAGGAUUAUUACCUUAAACCCACUUGUCAAAGAGAUAAUCUUUUCUUAGAGUGGAAAAAUCAUCCCUAACGUGUACUUGCGUUCCAUAGUUGAAAUGGAAGGAUUUACAUUGUUUUAUGUAUGUAUGUCAAACUUUGAUUAGCCAAUUUGGUCGAAACUCCAAAGGUGCGAUCAUUGUUUUAUGCGUAUACGUACAUCCAUCACACACAUAUAUGCAUGUGGGAAAUUGUUGUCAUGGCCAAAGGAAAAAAAAAAAAGUUGGAACGUGGAAGCUGUGUGAUAAAUUGUCACAUCAUCUCAAAGUAUCGAUACAACGUAAAUGGAUAAACAAAAAUUUAGAAACCGAGUUCGUAAAUACGAGAAAAAUCUUGCAAGCGCACAACUUUGCAUGAAAACAAAGGAAUUCACUCUCUAAAUGUAUUAUAAUUAAGGAUGAAAAAGCUUUUUGUUCUCCAGACAAGAAAUUUAUUCAUGAUAGAGAAAGUUGUAACCUUAAAAGGAUAAAAUAUCUAAUUCAUAUCUUUACCAAAAAAUAUAUAUAUAUAUAUCUAAUUCAUAUUGCAAAAUAGCAGCAAGUUGAAAUUUUUAUAUUAACCACCGGGGUUUGCCUCAAUAGCCACCCUUCUCACCUGAGAAGAGAGAUGUGGAGGGUUCAAAUCCUCAUUUUCUUGAAUAGGUUGGGCUGGGGACAAUUAACUUCAUGUAUAUAUUUUGACUCUCACGUCUUAUUAAGAGAUAUGAGAAAAGUAUGAGAGUGAGUUGAAAGUUAAAGUAGGACUAAUCGAAAAAAAUCUCUAUUUUGAAAAAAUGGAUGUCCUAAACUAACUAGCCAGUACUAAUUCUAAAAUCUUAUCUUCUUAAACACUCACAUGUAAGUCUUCAUCGAAUCUCAAUAUGUAUUCUUACAAAUUCGUGCGUUAUACAUAGCAUGAACUUUCAUGCUUGUCCCAAGCCUAAUGUGAGGUUAUAUAUUUACUUCUUAAUGAACAUAUCAUACCAAUUGACAAUAUUUCUACAAAAUCAUCCUUGGAAAAAUGGAGGUUACUCCAAUUAAUAGUCAACUUUCAUGUUGUAGUCAUACUCACAUGUUAUAUCUCGUCCCCAUUGCGAGGAGAUGUCUUCACUCCAUCACUCAAGCAAUCACAAGAAUUGACGAUACUUCUACAAAUUCGUCCUUUGGGAAAGGGGAGGUAAUUCUUUGCCACUGCGAAGAUUUUAAGAAAAGGAGCUAGCUUGGCAAAUGAACUCUCUUUCGGUGAAACAUGAAAAGAACACGAUAUAACAGUCAAAAUAAUAAUAAUCAUACGUAAUUCAGUUUGCAUCCUCGACUUUUGAAUUAUAGAUCUUGUACCCUGAGAUAAAAACGUAAGCAAUCAGGGGGUCUAAACAGCUAUGUAAAAUAGACAAGGCAAAGUUUGGGUUUUUUUUUCUUUUUUUAUGAGAAAAAAAUGUGCACAGUGCAGUAAUUUUGAUAUUAUUGAAAUAACUGGACGAAUACAAAUUAAUGGGAAAAUUAAGUAUCACUUUCGUAAUUCUAAGAUACUCUAUGGUACGAAUGAAUGAUAGAUUGAACAAUAAACGGAAAGAAUUUUACGCUUGGUGCAAGCAGCAAGAAAUUUAAGGUGAGUGCAAGAAAGAAAAUGGAACUAGAAAAUGGUUGAAAAUAAGCGUGACUCGGAUAUCAUACUAAAUGAUCCAGCUUAGAAAUCAGAAGGUUUAAUCAAGUGGUAAGCUUGUUCGUCCUUUUUUAUUCAGGACUUGAAUUUGAAUCGCUAUGUUUGCACAUUCUUCCAGGACCACUCCAAAGAACAUAGACCAACGUGUCUCGAAUAAUUACACACCCAAAAUAGGUGGUAUAAGAGGACUGUCACGCAUGGUAAGAAUAAGUUAGAUGUUCAAAACAUUCUGGACAUCCCAUUAAGUUCUGAAAAUAAUAAAGCACCAACAAUUAAAUGGUCGACAAGGCGAUGCAAAUUUUAACUAUCGUAAAAUAAAGAUUAAAUAGCGAAGUGAAUUACCACCCUAACAUAAAAAGGAUGAAUUCAUAAAAAAAAUUUCCUCCUCCGGCAAGAUCCUAAAUCUUCUCCGUUGGGAUGAUCCAAAGGAAUGGGGCAGAGUCGAUGUGGCCUUCCUUUGGGCUCAAGAUUCGAAAUUCAAGAAACUUAACUUUACUUAGGAAAAAAAAUCAAAUCGAUAUAGCCUCCAUCGUUUCGCAAAAAAAAAAAAAAAAUCAUUUUUCAAUAAAUAAUAGUAUUUUUUGGUAUUUGGCUGAAAUCUUAAAUGAAUUGGAAUAUAUUUUCCGUCGUUUGGUAGGAUAAUUAGAUUUUGAAGGAAAAUAUUACCCAAAAAAUCGAAUUUUUAAUUAUUUUUUCUCUCUUUUUUUUCCUUCUUCCUUGGCAAGUGGCCGACCAUGAUGAUGGCCACUAGCCACAAGCAAGAGACAAGCUCACUAGCCUUGGGUAAGCUUGUCCCUCAAUGAAGAAGGAAAAGGAAAAGAAAAAACAAAAAAAAAAAGAGAGCAAAAAAAUAAUUAAAAACAUGAUUUUUUAAAAAUAUUUUUAUAAGAAUGAAUAAUUCAUUAAUCAAGAACUCAAGCCCGAGCAGUGAGGACCCGCACAUGGCCUUUGUGGACCAGAGCUCGAGUAUGGAGGACUCGAGCAUCUCCCUUAUAGACUUAGGCAAAAGUGCCGAAGAAUCAAGCAUGGGCACUAGGGGUUUGGGCACAGCCUCAAUGGACCCGGGCAUGGGCCCAAGCCCAACCACCGGAGACCUAACGUUAGAGCUUUCAUGUCCAGGUAUAGAAUUUAUGGUCCAAACGCAAAUAUUUACUAGUUUUUCAAAGAGGGAAAUCAUUGUCCUAAAUUUAAGCACGGUUUUCCAUGGAUUAGGAGAAUGUUUUUUCUGAAAAUGUUUCCUGCAAAAGAAAGAAGGCCUUGAAAUUAGUUAAUCUUUCCACAAGUGGAAAUUAUAGCAUUCCUCGCAUAUCGAGUAAUAAUUGUCCUUGAACCAAAUAUAGUCCAGGCAUAGCAGAAAUCUAGAGGACGGACAUGUCUACUUUCAGAAUUAAUAACAUCAUGACUUUGUUUCGCUUUCAGUAUAUAGGAUUACGGAAAUCUAUCUUUAGAAAGAUAUGCGCCACCACUUGAACUAUUUUUAGGAUCACGUGGUAAGUAAUAGCACAUCAACAUAGUCGCAUGUAAGAUUUUCAAUUUUCAAUGCUUGACAACAUUAAGAACAACUCAAGCAAUCGCUUGUAAGCUGCACCUCACAUUUGACAGCGAAAUUGCAACGAUAAUCACGAUAUUAAGGUGCGGGCCAAAAGUUAUUGAAGAAUAUUACGAUUCAUGCAACAAAGAUUCUUGAUUAUAGGAUAUUUUCUUUUCUGGUCAAUUAGGCUAAAGCUCAAUAUGUGAAAAAUCACCCGAGGAACAAUCUAAAAUUCCCAAAAAGUCUCCAGAAUAUGUCUAAAAAUCGUGUGCAUCAAAUCAUCUACACUACAGAAAUAUAAUCUUUAUUCAAUUUUAAUCAAUUUGUAUUUCGAUGCUGUUUAUUGCGAUUAAAUUCAGGUAUCAACAUGAUGCGAUUACUCUAUGUAUUCUCAUGCGCAAUUGAAAUGGUCAAGUAAACACGCCCAAAGUCCACAUCUUGGACAGUAAUCUGCGGAGGGAUCAAAUCAAAGGAUGUACUACCUUACCCCAAACAAAUAAUUUUGCAAAAACCACGAGUGUCUUAUUACAAGCACAAUUACACAUGAAGACAAUAUACCAAAUCUCAUAUUCCCAAACACAACUAAACUUCACAUCACCCGAUCGACCAGCUUGAUUUAUUGGAUCAUCCCGAUACAUGGAAGUAUCAGAAAUCUCAAGCAUUAUAUAGCGAAACUUCAUAUACGAUAAUAGUCAUGCCAUGAUCCUUUCCUUCAUGCGCUUGCGAGGUGAGCAUCGAUAUCCUUGGUCAUAUCGAUGACCACGGCCAUGUACUUGUCGGGGCUAGGGUCACUCUCCUUGUACUUCUCGUACUCGAUGCUCAGCUUGGCCACACUGCCUUGCACUUUUGGGACGACUUUGCACCCCACCUUGUAGACCUUCCACGUGUCCAGGAUAUGGCCCUCGAUGCCGUGCAGGGUGAACGACAUGUUGUCAUCAUCGAACUCGACCUUCUCUUUGAACACUUCGGAUUUUCCUUCUAUAUAAUCGCACCAGCAAAAAUAUAAGGUUCGAGUUAGGCACGGCCGUCAAUUUAAUUUCAAUGACAACAUGGAAUAAAACUGAUAAUUAGACAGAUCAAAUUGAACCAAUUACCAACGGUGUAAUUCCAAGUCUUGAUAGCUCCAUGCUGAUCCCAGUCACCUUCAUGAACUUUGAUUCCUUGAAUGUUUUUGGAGGUGGCGGUGGGCAUUUUGUGGGUUUCACUCCUCCAAAUCUUGUAGAACUUGUCAGCUGGUGCUUUCAGUUCGACUUCAGCCACCAGUCUUCCCUGCAAAUUAGCCAUGUUGGCACAAAUAUUGAGACUUCAAAAUUCACCAAGUUCGUUAGAACACUGGCCUGCGUUGAGAAAAAAGUAGCGUUACUUGUUUCUUAUAUAGACUUUGGCGUUCAUUUUCGUCUCUACUUCAGGUCCCACACAUCAUGAUUCACAUGGUCCUUGAUAUGUUCAUCAAUUAUAUCUCCCUGUCAAAUUGUUAUUGGUUUAUAAAAUGUAUUUUGGACCAAUAAAAAGAUAUGACCGAGCGAUUACAGCUGUGGCCUGUCAAAUAAUUGAAGCAAUUCAAGACUUCUAUCUAUAUCGGUCAUCAGAAAUUAAAGGCCUAAUUCAUUCAUUUCUUAUUUUCUCAUAAUGAGUUCCAAUAUUCUAUGAAAGUUGCGAGUGGAAAUCAUCUUCUACUCUGAUUGAUCUGCCCAGGUAAACUUAAGAUUAUACCCGAUGCAUAAAAUAAUGAAAGAGGUAACUUACCUGGCCUACAGGUGGACUCUCAGGUGUAUUUGGUGAGUUAUAAGAUGCCUUCAUCAUUUCUCUAUAUUAUUAUGAUGAUGCGCAUGAGAGGGUGUUAAAGCCAAAAAAAGGUUUUAUAUUUGACAUAUAAUUCAUUAGUUUUAAUUUUUUAAGUGGAGAUGAGCCUAACUAGAUAAUAGAUGUAUUGAUAGGCGUAGAUUUGGGGUCUCUCUUGAUACAGGUGAAGAUAUCAGAGUUAUGUUGCACAUCUCAAUGAGUGUUUUCUCAAAAUAAGAAUUUACAAUGUGACUCUUUGAUCGUGGUGGUAGAUGGUAUCCCUUGCUUCUUGCCAAGUUUAAUUGGGCAAAAGCGAUUGAGGUAAAGUCAGAAGGACAAACGUUAUUCACGCAAAUUUGGCAAGGCCAAGGUAGAGAUUCGAGUUAAGAAUAUUGGUACAGAAGGACCUUUGAAUUAAGGAGGAGCUAGCCUAAGGAAGAGACUCAUGCUUGGAGGGAGAUUUGUUUAAGUGGAUGUGUGAAGGUAUUAGGUGAAAAAAGUCUCACUUCAGUUGAUAAGGUGUAAGAUGGAGCAAUUUAUUUGGCUCAAUAAAUAAUUGGUUUAAGCUUUUGAAGGUGCAGAUGAGUCUAACUAGAUAAAUUGAUAGGCUCAGAAUUGGGCUCUCUCAAGAUGUGGUGUAAAGUGAGCAAUUAAUUUAGCCGACUAACUCAUUGGUUCAAGUUUUCGGAGUGGAGAUUGAUAAUGCUAGUACGAGUACCUAGAGGGGGGGUGAAUAGGUUUAUAAAAUUUCUUGAAGAUUGCACAAUACUUAGACAGAUGAAUGAUUAAAGAAUCAAUCGUAAGACUGAGUAAAGGAAAGAGAGAAUUAAACACGAGGUUUAUAGUGGUUCGGCUUGAUUCAAGCAUACGUCCACUCUUCUGCACUGACAGCCGAUUGGCUGGAUUCCACUAUGAACAAAGAGAUGUUACAGUGUUGAUCUUCCUUGAUUUCUCGAUGUAGAUGAUCUACUACACUCGCUCAAGGUAUCACCAAGUAUAAACACUCUCUGUGUGUACAAUUUCGCUCGAACUGUAUCGACUAACAAUCAAGGUUCUUCAGACUCUGGAAUUUUUCUAUCGAUCACACACUUAAAACAACUACAACGUCUUCCUUUUAUACUCCUUUAUGUCAUCAUAGCCGUUGGCACUUACCAAAGGAAUUCCUCCAACCUACCCGUUGGUCGGAAUCAAUUAAGAAGAUCAUCCGAGCUAUUUAAGGAAUCUGAUGAUAGCCCAUCAAUCAUGUUCGCCCAUACAAUCAGGAUUUUGGUUUCCAAGAAUAGAACAUUCCAAGAAUGUUUCGUCGACCAUCGGAUCUUCUAUUGUUCUUAAAUGAGAAUCAAAAAAUCCGUAGUGAUUAUCCAACCAAGGGAUCUUUUCCAGAGGAUUGGAUCGAAUCCCCAACCAUAUACUUCGGCUUCGGAUAUCCUUCGCCACUGGAUUAAGAAGACUGUCGGUGAGAAUAAUCUUGAGUCUUGAGUCUUGAGUCUUGAGUCUUGAGAUUACAAAGUCUUGAGACUUUAACUAUCGAUAUCCAGACUAGACUGAUAGAAAGCAAUUAAUUUAGCCGACUAACUCAUUGGUUCAAGUUUUCGGAGUGGAGAUAAGUCUAAUUAGAAGUAUUGAUGGGUUUGGAGUUGGACUCUCUCUUCUCCAUCUCCCCAAGUGAAGGUAUUAAGCUGCUUCUUUUACACUCCUAACAAUUGUUACACAUUAAUAUACUAAAUAUACUAAGAUCAGUCUAUAAAGUUUUGUACACUAAGCGACAAGACGGAGUGUAAGUAAACAUAUAAUCAAGUUGAUCAUUGUCCAGACCCAAUAAAAAGCCUGUCAUGUCGUAUAGUAUACAAUUUUGUGUUAUUGUCUCAAUAUACUUAGCCACAAAAAAGUCGACCAUUGAUGCUUGACCGACCAUUUCAAGAAAAAAUUUCAACACAAGACUUAAUGGAGAGACCGUAUACUCCAAAUUGACCAUAAGAGGCCAUUCUACCCUCCACGCACAAUUGCCAAAAACACUGGUGGAUGGAUGCUUGCUUUAGUUGACCAACAUUUCCCGGAUAUAAGAGUUAACCAACAAUUGUAGCAAACUAGUUGAAGAUUGUUUGGUAGGCACUUGCAACCUUACCCUCUUGAUGAAGGAUCUGUGGUUCACAAUCUCCAUUACGGACGCGGUGCUCAUGUUUUUUGGCAUCCAUUUUGUUAUGUUUUGCUAUGAGAGGACAGGACAACUGCAUUUAAUUACGGUCUUGGAGUGGUGUCUUAUGAUCGAGUACUUUUUCUAUAUAAUGUGGCUGUUGAUUGGUUUUCAAUCGCGGCAAAUUGCUUGAUCCAAAUUAGGGUUCGAAGAAUUUUGAUAAUGGCUUGAUCUGUCUGAAUUAUGGUUUAUAUGUAGGGCAAAACAUAAAGACCAUGUUGUUUAGGAGGCACACUAGCUAGCCGCGUCAACUUGGGAAAUUAAUAAAAUAUUGUCAUGUCAAAUUUCCAGCAUCCAAAAUUGAAAUUGUUACUCAAGUGAUUCGACGAAACACAAGUGUCAUAACUUUCGUGCUAAAGUGAUAUACCUUUUGUUUCAACCAUUUGAAUCGAAAUAAAAAAAGAUGGUGGACUUUAAAUAACCAUAUUUUGCUUUUUGAAACCCCAAUCAAUCUUCAAGACACCAAAAAAAAAAAAAAAAAAUUAAGGGCUAAUCAACGGCCUUAGUCUUACCUGCAAUGUAUUCCAAAUCUUAUAUAAUAUCUUAGCUGGCGAUUUCAGCUCCAAUUCGCCAUGCAAUGUCAUUUUGCGUUUUCGAAACGAAGAGUUAACUAAAGUUCAAAAUAUGAACGCUCAUGUGCAAACAAGUUAGCAUGGAUACACUUCAUAUGUAUAGAUGAUGAAGGCCCCCGAUUGCCAUUAUUUAUGUUUCUACAGGGCCGUGCAAGGCAUGAUUCAUGUGAUCCUUGGUAUUCGUUUUCAUGUUUUAGUCAACCUUCUAACUAAUCGGUUUAUUAAAUGAGCAUGCGCAUUGCCAAAAAAAAAAAAAUCUUAUUUAAUUAAUAGCUCGUCAAUUUUCACAAAUCGCACGACUUUAAUCAUAUACUAAUUUAGCCAAUUGUAUAGAUUCGCAAAUCUUAUGGAUCUAGCACAUUGUCCAUAUCUUUCGCCAAGAAAAAAUGAGUCCUACCCUAAACCCACCUGUCAAAGAGACAAUCUUUUCCUAGAGUGCUAAGAUCAUUCCUAUCGUGUGCUUGUGGUCCAUAGUUGAAAUGGGAUUUACAUUGUUUCAUUUAUGUAUGUCAAAAUGCGAUUAGCCGAUUUGGUCAAAACUCCAAAGGUGCGAUCAUUGUUUCGUGUCUAUAUGUACAUGCAUGACACACAUAUAUGCAUGUGUGAAAUUGUUGUCACCGCCAAAGAAAAAAAAGGCUAGAAUGUGAAGACUACGUGAUCAUUGUCAUAUCAUCUCAAAUUAUCUAUACAACAGAAAUGGAUGAACCGAAAUAUAGAAACUAAAGUCCGCAAAUACGAGAACAAUCUUGCGAACGCACAACUUUGCAUGAAAACAAAGGAAUUCUCUCUCUCUCUCUCUCUCUCUCUCUAAAUGUAUUCUGAUCAAUAAUGAAAAAGCUUUUUGUUCUCCUAACGAGAAACUUAUUUGUGAUAGAGAAAAAUGUAAUCUAAAAAUUAUAAAAAUAUCUAAUUCAUAUCACAAAAUAACAGCAAGUUCAAAAUAUAUAUAUCUUUAAAAAAGGAUUUCCUGAAUUAACUAAACUAAUAAUUCUAAAAGCUUAUCUUCUUGAACACUCAUGUAGGUCUUCAUCAAAUCAUAAUGUAUGUUCUUACAAAUUUGUGCAUUGUAAAUUGAAUGAAUUGUUUAUUGAAGACAGCAUUGCUCUUUAAUUGAUAUGAUGAAGAUAUCAUCGAAAUGAUAUAUUUGAUAUGAUUGCCCUUGAUUGAUUUAUUGGGAUAUUGUACAUGGAAAAUUGAUUUUUCCGACAAAAUCAUCCUUGAAAAAUGGAGGUACUCCAAUUAAUAGUCAACUUUCAUGUUGUAGUCAUACUCACAUGUUAUAACUCAACCCCAAUAAGAGGAGACGUCUGCACUCCAUCACUCAGGCUAUCACAAGAAUUGACAAUACUUCUACAAAUUCGCCCUCCGGGAAAAGGGAGGGACUUCCUUGCCACUGCGAGGAUUUUAAGAAAGGGAGCUAGCUUGGCAAAUGAACUCUCUUUCCGUGGAACAUGAAAAGAACACGAUAUAACCGUCGAAACAAUAAUAAUCAUCCAUAAUUCAGCUUGCAUCCUCGACUUUUGAAAUAUACAUCUAGUACCCUGAGAUAAAGACGUACGCAAUCAUGGGGGUCUAAACAGCUGUGUAAAAUAGACAAGGCAAAGUUUGGUUUUUUUAUGAGGAAAAAAAAAAACAAGGUACAAAGCACAUUAAUUUUGACAUUAUUGAAACUACUGGAUGAAAAAAAAUAAUAAUGGAAAAAUGAAGGAUCACUUUCGUAACGCUAAGAUACUAUAUGGCACGUAUGAAUGAUAGAUUGAACAAUGAACGGAAAGAAUUUUACGCUAGGCACAAACAGCAAGAAAUUCAAGGUGAGUGCAAGAAAGAAAAUGAACUAGGAAAUGGUUGAAAAUAAGCAUGACUCGGAUAUCAUACAUACUAAAUGAUCCAACAUAGAAAUCGGAAGGUUUAUUCAAAUGGUAAUCAUGUUCGUCCUUCUUACUCAGGACUUGAAUUUGAAUCGCUAUACUUGCACAUUCUUCUAGGACCACUCCAAAGAACAUAGACCAAUGUGUCUCGAAUAAUUACACACCCAAAAUUUGUGGUAUAAGAGGACCGUUGCGCAUGAUAAGAAUAAGUUAGAAGUUCAAAACAUUCCAGACAUCCCAUUGAAUUCUGAAAAUAAUGGAACCCUAACACUUAAAUGGUCAACAAGGCGAUGCAAAUUUUAUCUAUCGUAAAAUGAAGAUUAAAUAGCUAAGUGAAUUACCAACCUAACAAAAAAGGAUGAAUGCAUAAAACAUUUCCCUCCUUCGGCAAGAUCCUAAAUGUUCUUUUGUUGGGUGAUCCAAAAGAACGGGGUAGAGUCGAUGUGGCCUUCCUUCCGGCUCAAGAUUCGGCUUAGUCCUAGAAAAAAUAAAUUCAAGAAAUUUAACUUUACUUAAGAAAAAAAUUAAAUCAAUUUAGUAUGGGUUCGUUUCAUGGAAAAUGUGACGUUUUUAGAAAAUAUUUUUCAAAAAGUCAUUUUUUAAGAAAAUGAUAAUAUUCUCAGAUGUUCAGCUAAAAUCUGAAAUGAACUAAAAAAAAAUAUUUUUUACCGUUUGAUAGGAUAAUUAGAUUUUCAAGGGAAAAAUUACCAAAAAAAAUCAAUUUUUUUAAUUUUCUUUUCUUUUCCUUCUUUUUAUUUUUCCUUCUUCCUCAGCCAGUGACCAACCGCUAGGCGUCGGCCAUCAUUGCGGCCGACCACUACUCGAGGAAGAAGGAAAAAAGAAAAGAAAAACGAGAAAAAGACAAAAGAUAAAUAAUUAAAAACUUGAUUUGUUUAAAUAUUUUUAUAAGAACGAAUAAUCCAUUAGUCAAGGACUUGAGCUCAAGUAUCGAGGACUUGCAUAUGACCUUUGUGGACUAGAGCUCAAGCAUCGAGGAUCCGAGUAUGUCCUUCAUGGGCUCCAGCCUAGGUGCCGAAGAAUCGAACAUGGGCACCAGGGGUUUGGGCACAGCCUCAAUGACCCCGGUGUGAACCCAAGCCCUAUCACUAGAGACCUUAUGUUAGAACUUUUGUGCUCAAGCGUAGAAUUUUCAAUUUAAAUGCAGAUAUUCAGUCAUAUUUUGGAAAAUAUUUUUCAUUUUUUCAAAGGAGACAAUCAUUUUUUCUAAAUUUAAGUGUAGUUUUCCAUUGACUAGGAAAAUAUUUUCCCGAAAAAAUGUUCCCUGCAAAACAAACAGAGCCUUGGAAGUGGUUCAUCUUUUACGAGUGGAAAUUAUAGCAUCCCUUGCAAAUUGAGUAAUAACUGUCCUUGAACCAAAUAUAAUCUAAGCAUGGCAAAAUUCUAAAGGACAGGGACAUGUCUGCUUUCAGUAUUAAUAAGAUCAUGGCAAUUAGAUUUCGCUUUGAGGAAAUAGGGUUACGGAAAUCUAUCUCUAGAAAGAUAUGCGCCACCACUAAAACUAUCUUUUGGAUCACUUAUUUAACCGUGGUAAAGUCAUAGCAUAUCAUCAUAGUCGCAUGUAAGGUUUUCAAUUUUUAAUGCUUGACAACAUUUUGAACAACUCUAACAAUCGCCAAUAAGCUGCACCUCAUAUUCGACAGCGGAAUUUUUAACCAUAGUCACAAUAUUAAGGUGCAGGCGAAAAGUUAUUGAAGAAAAUUAGGAUUCAUGCUACAUAGAUUCUUGAUUAUAGGAUAUUUUCUUUUCUGGCCAGUUAAGCUAAAGCUCAAUACAUGAAAAAUCACGCGAGGAACAAUCUAAAAUUCCUAAGAAGUCACCUGAAAUACGUCUAAAAAUCGUGUGCAUCAAAUCAACUACUCUACAGAAAUAUAAUCUUUAUUCAAUCUUAAUUAAGUUGUGUUUCGAUGUUGUUUAUUGUGAUUAGGUAUUGUCACGGUGCGAUUUUAUAUUCUUAUGCGCAAUUGAAAUGGUCAAGUAAACGCGCCCACAGUCCAAAUCUUGAACGGUAAUCUGUGGAGGGAUCAAAUCAAAGAAUGUGCUAGCUUCCCCCAAACAAAUCAUUUUGCAAAAACCACAAGCGCGUUUUAUUACAAACACAAUACCACAUGAACACAAUACACGAAAUCUCAUAUUUCCAAACCCAACUAAACUUCAGAUCACCUGAUCAACCAGCUUGAUUUAUUGGAUCAUCGCCAUACGUGGAAGUAUCAGAAAUCUCAAGCAUUAUAUAGCGCUACUUCAUAUCCGAUAAUAGUCGUGACAUGAUCUUUUCCUUCAUGCGCUUGCAAUGUGAGCAUCGAUAUCCUUGGUCAUAUCGACGAGCACAGCCAUGUACUUGUCGGGGCUAGGGUCACUCUCCUUGUACUUCUCGUACUCCAUGCUCAGCUUGGCCACACUGCCUUGCCCCUUUGGGACGACUUUGCAAGCCGCUUUGAAGACCUUCCACGUGUCAAAGAUGUGGCCCUCGAUGCCAUGGAGGGUGAAUGACAUGUUGUCGUCAUCGAACUCGACCUUCUCUUUGAACACUUCGGAUUUUCCUUCUAUACAAUUACACCGGCAAAAAUAGAAGGGUUAAGUUAGAGACUGCUGUCAAUUUAAUUUAAGUGACAACAUGGAAUAAAAUUGAUAAUUAGAGAGAUCAGAUUGAACCAAUUACCAACGGUGUAAUUCCAAAUCUUGAUAGCUCCAUGUUGAUCCCAGUCACCUUCGUGAACUUUAAUUCCUUGAAUGUUUUUGGAGGUGGCGGUGGGCAUUUUGUGGGUUUCGCUCCUCCAAAUCUUGUAGAACUUGUCAGCUGGUGCUUUCAGUUCGACUUCAGCCUCCAGUUUUCCCUGCAAAUUAGCCAUGUUGGCACAAAUAUUGGAACUCCAAAAUCCACCAAAUUCG
rnacentral:lncRNA from 1 species